CUUACCUUCAGAAUCAACUAUAUAUACACAGAAAAUAGUGAGGCUCCACAAACAAUUCAUGACUCGUUACAUCUUUAAUGGGCAAACAUGGCUCACAAAUUACAAUAUAAACGACACACAAUCGUUGAAUUUUCAAUACUUGUCAUUACUACGGAAGCAAUUGAGAAAGUACCACUUUCACAUAAUACUUUACAUAUUGACAGCUACAUCCGUCUUUUUGUCAUCACUUAGAUGUACACUCAUAAACCUAUAAGGUUUACACUAGGCCUGUAUGUUAUUUGCAGGUUAUAAUGUUUGAUAAUCAUAUGCUUAAACAAUGUUCACAUGUACUUUUUCUCGUGUCCGGAAUAAUACAUGAGAGAUGAAAUUUACCUGUAAAAAAGAUCAAGGUUUAAAUAUAUAAUUUAUUCAGAAAACAUGUGAUUCAUACGGUCUUCGUGCGUACACCUUUGCGAUUAUGGCGAAUAUAAGUAGUUUGUUUUAUUGUAUUACAUGCAAUUUAUAACUUUACGAUAUUCCGACGAUGUUUCACAUAGAAAUGUACAAUCUUUCUUGUCAUUUAAAGAAAAUGAAAAAACUGUUUGUUCGAAAAACAUUUAGUGACCCCUCCCCUACAAACAAAAAAAAAAAA
rnacentral:lncRNA from 1 species